UACGUAGGGUGCAAGCGUUAAUCGGAAUUACUGGGCGUAAAGAGCGCGUAGGCGGAUUAGUAAGUUGGGAGUGAAAGCCCGGGGCUUAACCUCGGAAUAGCUUUCAAAACUACUAGUCUUGAGUGUAGUAGGGGAUGAUGGAAUUCCUAGUGUAGAGGUGAAAUUCUUAGAUAUUAGGAGGAACACCGGUGGCGAAGGCGGUCAUCUGGGCUACAACUGACGCUGAGGCGCGAAAGCGUAGGGAGCAAACAGG
rnacentral:rRNA from 1 species